rnacentral:antisense_RNA from 1 species
GUUGUAGAUUAUUUAGCUGCAUUUCUGUUACAUUAAUGUCCAAAACGUUUCUAAGCCUCUAUUUUUGACUAGGAAUUACGACGCUCCUUUUAAGGCUUAGACUUCUCAUCAAAUUUAGUUUGAAGUUUUGCCGCCUUAUGCAAUAAACCUACCGCUUCUUUUCUACCGGUUGCCUUAGAUGCUUGAUGCAAUAAAUCUGCAUACU